CAGAGCCACAGAAAUGCUGGAUCCGAGCCACGUCUGUGACCUGUGCCACAGCUCAUGGCAACGCCGGAUCCUUAACCCACUGAACAAGGCCAGGGAUCGAACCUGCAACCUCUUUUUGGUUCCUAGUCGGAUUCAUUUCCGCUGCACCAGGACGGGAACUCCAAGAGGUAAAUUUUAAAAGGCAGUUGUUCAUGGAGGUUGUCCAUGGAAUCAGCAUCUCCCAUUGCUUGCUGUGGAAAAGUCCUGAAAAGUGUGAGGGAAGCUGGCCCCAGAGAGUGGCGGUGAUGUGUCCCCAGUCCCUCUGGAGGGCGACAUGUGUGGGCCAGGGUCGCAGAGUGCUCACAUUCCUAAGCAGAUAUAACUGUUCCUCGUGUGUAUAGAAGUAUCUUUGACAGUUCUCUGUAAUUCACCCCCAGUCAAAUCCAAAGAGAUUUUGAGUUCUGAGUAUUAAUUGUACAUUUUAAUUUCCAUUUAACCAUUUAAAUGUUUUUUUUUUCCCUAAAACCCAAGACUACCCCUCUGUAUCUAGGUGAAUCAUUUCUCUUGAAAUGGGUUUUUCACACAGACUUGCAGAAAUGAUUUCCUCUAUCUCACAGGAGGUAGGAAUUUCUCUUAAUAAUAUGUCCUACAGGCAUCACAUUCACCCAGGGAACUUGCUAAAAACACAGGCAUCUGGGCCCCCCUUCAGAUCUGCAGAUGGGUCCAAGGCUGUGUGUUUUUAAAAGCUCUUCUUGCCUUGUGCACUACCCUGUGAUUGUAGUGUCCUGUUUGAGACACUUGUCGGAGGUAUGUAGAUAGGAAAGAAGGAUGGUUAGGGGUGUUAUGGGAGAGCCCCUGGACCCGAGUGACUCAUUCAUUCAUUCAUCAGUGUUUAUUGAGCACCUAUUCACCAUGUGCACAGAGUGUUGUGGGUUUGAAGCUUUACUCAUAUGAAGAAAGUAGACUGUAUGCAUGUGGAAUUAGGGUCUUGAAAUUGGUUACUGACAUGUUGGUGCUAAUUUAUUAUUAAUUAAUGCAGCCCCCAGGCACUAUAGUACUCCCUCCAACCCCUCUUUCUGAUCUCAUCUUGUGAUAGUUAAUACAUUCUUUCAACCACAAGCUCUUUCUACUCUUUUUCCUUCAUCUCUCUUUUUCUGCUGUUCACAUACUAUCUGAGGUAUUGCUUUCAUCUGCAGUUCUAGCAUUAUUCCUAUGAUAUUUGAAUCAUCUUAUUAGAAUUUAUAUGUCUGGUGCCUUUGAACGUUAAUUCUAAAUUACUCAGUAAUGCCAAAUGGAGCUCCAGUGACAGGAUGGAAAAUGUCGACUGUCUUUUACCGAUUAGACUGACCUAGGAAUAGAACUCACAUUUUAAAAAUCGUUUUCAUUUAUCAUUCAUGUCAGGAAAAUUUAAUAAAGCUCUCUUUAGAUCUUUAACUUAAUGGCCAUCAGACUCACUUUUGAAAAUGGCUUAUUUUGUGUUAUACUUGUGGCUUCUCUCCAUUAGUAACAAUAAAAAAAAUACCCAAGACUGGUUCCAGGUAUUAUGCUUCCCAAUGUUGCUUUCACCUGCAGUUUUUAAGUGGUUUUACUAGGAAUCCUGUGAAUUUCAAAGAAAUUUAUUAUUGUUAUUUUUUCAGUGUAACAGGUGAGACAACUGAGACCUAGCUUGACUAACAGUUUGCUGUAGUGAUUAUAUUUUUUGAUAUUUAUUGCAAUUGCUACUUCAUGUGACCCUGGAGGCAGCAGGCUUUCCUUCCAUUUAAAACUCCAAAUGAUGCCACAGCCAAAGCAGAAGCUUUACGUGCUGGUGUUGCCUUUUGGUACUCAUAAUUAAGAUGGCAUUUAUUUGUACUAAUAAUUCAGGAUUACAUCUCCCUAAUAGAUGUACUGAGCAAGCACCACGGUGACAAGAUAAGUUGCCUUGUUUUGUUCCAUAUGUCUGUGUUCUAAGUAUUCCAUAGUUUUAAUUGGUUCCCUGCAGAAUAACAUUCACAAGCAUAUGGUAUGGAAAAUGCUGACUGCUUUUGUUAUCAUGUAUUUUAGGGCUUGUGGUGGCCCCUGUUCACUUGGCCCUUAAUUGUGAUCAUGAGGUUAUUGAAUGCACUUCCUGGUGUACUUUUUCUUAACCUGCCCAUCGAGUAUUAAAUGCCGUCAGUAUAGUCUAUCUGGUAGCCUGUGCCCAUUUGGGCAGAAAACUAAUUCACAAAAGCUCUUAUUGUGGACUUGUGCUGCAAGAUGCCUUCUCCCUCCUUGCCUCACAUGUGGUUUUCAAAGGCACUGCAAGGCUGCUUGCAAUUAUGUUUCAGAGGAGGAUGCGCUGUUUGGAGCCUGGAAGAGCCAAGAGGCACAACAGAGCUCUCUGGCGCCUGUUUGGGAGAUUUACCAGCAGUUUCUUGAAAAGGAAUUACAAAUGUGAAAUUAGACUCAUGGGCUGAAGAGGGGACCAGCUGUAUUUUUGGAUAUCUGAGCUACUUUGAUACUUGGGUGGUUUCCUUGGGGACUGAGUGGCUUGCAUUACGGAAAUUUAUGGUCUGAUAGUUCUGGAGGCUAGAAGUCUGAAAUCUAGGUCUCCCAAGGUCAUGUUCCCUCUGAAAGCACCAGAGAAGCAUCUGUUUAUGGCCUCUCUCCUGAUGUCUAGCAGUCUCAGAUGUUCUUUGGCUUGUAGACGGUCUUCUCCCUGUGUCUUCGUAGCCUCUUCCCUUUAUACGUGUCUCUUGGUCCAGAUUUCCCGUUUUUUACAAGGACAUGGUCAUAUUGGAUUAGGGCCCAUGCUAAUGACCUUAACCAGCUUAACUAAUUACAUCUGCAACAACCUCAUUUCCAAAUAAGUUCACAUUCUGAGACCCUUAAGUUUUAGAACCCCAGCGUAUGAUUGAGGGGACGAAACCCAACCCAUGAUACUUUCUUCAGUAAUCACCAAUGUUUUGCCAAUCCCUGUUUGAUCUGUUUCUACAUCAUACAUGUACAGUUUUGUUUCCUGGGGUAUUUGAAAGCAAAUCAGAGAUAUUUUUAUAGGUGUGUGUGUUGAUGUGUGUGUGUGUGAGUGUGUGUGUAUGUGUGUGUUUCUAUAAUCAUUGUGUUCAGAGGUUUUUCCCCUAAUGAGAAGCAUGGAAAGAACAGUAGAGGCUCCUGCCACCUCUCAGCCUGGGAACCUCUCACCUCUCAUUUUUGGGUGAAAGACCUUCUUGGAGAAGCUUCCUGACCCUUUCGGGCAGUUAAUGCUCCUGUCCUCUGUGGACCUGUACUGAUUUUCAAUGACCUGUAACAUAUGAGUAAUCUAGUGUUUUUGUAGUAGGGUGCAGGAGAAAUGAAGACAGACUGGGUUUUGCACCUCAUUGCCCUGUUCCCCAUCCCCCGUUCUCUAUAAGGAGAGACUUUUCUGAGGUGCAGGGAGAGGGGGAGGCUGGGAUGAGGAGGCCUCAGUUGGAGAUGGCUGCAAGUGAGGGCCAGUCCUCCAAAGGAUCCCCCUUCCUGUUGGCAAGGACUCCAGUGGGUAGGACAUGGUGUCUGUGGUUGCUGGGUGGAGCCAAAGAAUAGAAACUUUCUGAAUAUGCUGUUGUCUGUGCUAGUCUGUAUAAAUGUUCAUUUUUUUCAUUUCUUACUGUAACAUUGCCUAGAGCAUAAUUUCUUCAGAUUAACAUUGUAAUUCAUGUUCGUUCCACUGGCUCGAGCUAAUCAAAAGUUGACCAACCGUGGUGAUUUUAUGUAUUUUUUACUUUUUAUUUUUUUAAGUUUUAUUGAAGUAUAGUUAAUUUACAAGGUUGUGGUAAUUGCUGUUUGUACAACAAAGUGACCCAGUCACACGUAUACACUUAUCCAUUCUCUCUCCGAUGACCACGAUGAUUUUAAAAACAUGCAUGAAACAGCUUAGGAGGCAGAGUGAGGUAGGACUGUGCAGAGCCGUGGAGGCACAGGGUAACCCCAAACAGUCUACAUCACUGUGAGCCCACAGAUAAGGAAGCAGCCAAAUGCAUGGCUUUGGGAAUCUCAGUCCUGGGGCACUUACUUCUGACAGUCUAGGGCACCAGACUUCCUAACUGGGGGCUGAUAAAGGUCUCCUACCCAGGAUUCUGAGAAUUUUGUGAAAUGACGCCAGGAUCAGAGAAACCACAGCAGUGGCUCUGCGGUUGUUCUGGAGACACCAUUCACUUUGAAUGCAUGCGGAUGGCGCCCCUGGGGUUGCGGGAUUGCAGGGUGCUCUCUGCCCUCACAGUUAGUAACUGGUUAUUGCUACUUGGGCUUCUCUUUCCACUUAGUUGGGAUUUGCCCACCAAGCGAGUGGGAAGAGAGAACCAUCUCUCCCAUCUGAUGGUCCCGCAGUCUAUCUUUUCUUGCUCCCACCCCUCAUUUUACUACCCACACCCUCCUCCACCACAUCUGGAAUCAAAGAUUAACCAUCAAGGAGUUUUGUUUUGUUUUUUAGAGUCUCCUCCCCUCUUUUCCACCCUGAGAUUGUGAAGAUCUUGAGAUGUUAGUGAAUUAAAAAGUCACACGACUCUCUCUCUCUCACACACACACACACAUACACACACACACACUGGAAAUUCUUGUUCUCUGUUUUUCCUGUGAUGAAAAUUUAUAUUUAAUAUGAUCUAGGGGUUCUUAGUUGCUUUAGGCUUCUGAAAUAGAUAUGAACAAACCACCACCAAAAUUGAGAAGGGAAUAUAAGGCAGGACUUUGAUUGAUUUGUGAAUAUAAACAGUACUUUCUUAAUCAGUUCAAGGUCACUGUUAAGAUGCUAUUAUUCCCAGGAAUCGUCAAACUAUAGAUUCACUUCCGUAAUUGUUGUUUGGUAAGUAGUUGAAGUAAAUAGAAGACUAUUUGCUUCUAUAUCAGUACUUCCAAAGGUUUCAUAUCUACACAGGGGGCAGCGGGUUUGCAGUCGUCGUAAGGUAGAAGUGUUAGGUUACUAAGAGUUUCAAAUAUUUGAAAUUAUCAGUGCAAAUAGACACCACAGUAUUAGGAAAUUAAGAUGUAAUAUUCCGGUUAUAAUUGAAAUUUUAAUCUUCUGCUAAAGAAAUUACUCAGAAAGAAUACUCAGAAAAAGUAUUCUCUUAAGUAAAAUAAAAUGGUAAGAAAAUUUGAUUAAAAUUUCCUUAAUUAAAAGCUUUAUGUAAUUCAUCAUUGAACACAGCCACAAGCCCACCUUGAACAAAGAUUUAUUUUACAAGAUGAGUGAAAAAUUUUAAAGGCUGAUGGCAUCCAUUUUACAGCUGUUUAUUAUGGUGAAAGAUUUGGCGGUCUAAUGCAUUUUAUUAUGCAUUUUUAAGGUUGCCAUAAUAUUUUUAAACCUUUCUCAUUUGUCAUUCUUUGGAUUUUUUUAUUGAAAGUAUAAUAUGACACCUAUUUCAAAAUUAACAAAAUCUUCCUCUAAUAUAACAGCUUUCUUUUGUAUGUGACUAAUUUAUUUAAAAUGUCAAGACAGAACAUUUUGUUUAAAUAUUUUGUAUUAAAGGUAGCUUUUUCUUGGUCUAUUCAGUUGAUGAUGCCUGUUAAAAUGACACAAGUAAAAUUCAAAUUGAUAUAUUGACAUUUUUCCAUGUUGAGGGGCUGUGUUUGGAAGAUCCAGGCAGUUCUCUCAACAGAAGAGAGCAGACAAAGGGAAAAUGUCUGAGCAACUGAAACAACUGAAACAGAGCUUAUUUAGUGCGUAGAACCAUAAAAUCUUAUUUUCCCAGGAUUGGAAGAAUCUAAUGCUUCGAAGACUGACAACUUGAUUGGGAAAGCUUAUUCUUCUCAGAGGAUGAUACUUGGUUAAUGAUAACAUGUUUGUGCCAUUAAAUUAGCAGUGAAAUAAUACAGAACUUAUAUACUCACAUAUUUCUCUCUCUUCAUCUAUACCUCUAUGCCACAACACUGUUCUAUGCCACGAGGCAUGUAUUUUAAUACAUCUUUCUUGAAUACCCAACUGUUCUUUGCCAGGUACUGUUUCGUUUUGAAAAAAGUUUUCUAUUUUGCAGAAAGAGAGAGAGAGAAUGAGAGGUCACUUGGAAGGUGAGGGUUCUUCUGUCACUGAAAAACACACAGUGUAAUAAAUAAUGGCAUCAUUAAAAACUGUCACCUUCGUGAAGUACAGUAAUUGCUCUGCAUAUCCCUUGUCCAUUUCCCUAUGAACCUGAAUACCUGCAUCUUGCUGGAAAUGCAUCUCCUCCUGCCUGCUUCCAGCCACUUAUCUGUUCAUUACUGUCACGUCUGAGAGGCUUUCAGACAUGCCAGGUGUGUGGUGUCACCUGCCUGACGUCCGUUCCAAAUACAGACACUUACACACGUGAGUAUUAAAGCCAUAGAUCUUCCUUAUGACAACAAAAAGCUGACUGCAGAAAAGCAAAGCUUCUGGGAACAGUCUUCUGAGCACAUCUCUUGGUUUGUUCAUGGGAAGAGAAAACCUGACUAAUUAGCUUGAGCCCUCCCAGUCUGAGGGAGAGGUAAUAAUUAAAGGGUUUGGAGCAGCCACACAACCACUGGCUUUGGAAGAGGCAAUGUGGUUAAGAGGGCCUGAUCUGAGGC
rnacentral:lncRNA from 1 species